UUUUGUUCUGUUUCGGGAUAUGGAGUGAUUCCUACUCUUCACUGGGUUUGGCUCAAUGGAGGAAUUGAUGCUCCGAUUGUACAGGACUUUGCACCCCGUGUAAUUGUGAUGUAUAUGAUUGCUCUUCUGGCUUUCCUAUUCUACAUUUCCAAAGUCCCAGAGCGGUACUUUCCAGCUUUAAAAUCAUAUUUUAGAAUCAGGAACGAAGAUUCAGGGAAUGUCUGUCACAUCUUAUGGCAUCCCACCUGGACAGAAUAUCCGAUUUGAAGAUUGUGAUUGACUUCCAUAAAACUCUACAACUCUCCAUUUGGCAGUGCUUACGUGAAGUACCAA
rnacentral:sRNA from 1 species